rnacentral:pre_miRNA from 1 species
GCGAGCCUCGAGCUCACUGGCGUCGGCGAGCUCGAGGCUCGCUAGAUCUGGCGAGCUCGAGCUCGCCGACACCGGUGAGCUCGAGGCUCGC